rnacentral:rRNA from 1 species
AUGAACCUCACUGUUCAGUUUUGGCGUUGCAUAUUUGGUAAGGGGAUAAGACAUGUUGAAAGAAACCUCUCCAUAUAUGGUGAGCACCCAAGCAAGCUUAAAGAACAAGGCCUUCCAGUCGACAUAACGGACUUUGCUUUGCAUCCACUUACCAUGACAAGUUAUACAAGUAAUGUUCCAAUCAAGGAGGAAUCACCAAGUGUGACAUUUGGAGAGCUUCUAGCAGAUCCUAGUGUUAGGCCAGAAGGAGAGUUCACUCUAAUUGAAUAUGAAUCAAGGAUCCCCCCUCAUAAAUCAUUUGUUCAUUUUGUUACAAGUCGAGCUCAGGAUACACAUGAAGGAAGUAGUAGUACCUUGCCAGGGAGGAAGCGACGGGGUGGGCCAAUCUAA